GCCUGUGCAUGUAGGUCGCCCUCUGGUGUCUGUUCUUCACCCAGACAGGAAGGGGUUAAAGGAGCAGCUGACUGGGGGGUGCUGACUCACUCAGGCUGGGGGGAGGGAGGGAUAUGGAAUGCGGGACGAGCCUGCGGUGGCAGAGGCCGGCAUGCCAUUGCAACAGCCUGAGAUGUGCCGUGUGUUCUCCUGUGGAAGUUGUCCCUGGAUCACAGGACCCUGGCAGUGGCAGGCUGCACAGUCUCCUGGGAGGGGAGGUGUGGAUAGUGACCUGUGCUUGCACACAGGCUUCUUGGUGGCUGCAGCAGCAGUGUUAGUGUUUCGUGCCCGUCUCUGGUGUCUGCGCUGAUAGCCACGCUCACGCCUGUCUCUGGAGCUCGUUUAGGCAGUGCUCUGAGUCCCCUCUCCUCAUGCACCCCGAAACGAUGGUCUCUUGCCUCUUAGGCAGGUCCAAACUUUUCUCCGAACUCCCUCCUGGCUAGCUGUGGCGCACUAGCCCCCUUCAGGCUGUGUUCAUGCAGCCAACCCAGUCCUCUCCCUGCGAUCUGACCUCCAGAGCUCGAGCCUCAGCUCCCAGCCCCCACCCGCCCUGGCGGGUGAGCAGACAAGCCUCUCAGGCUGGGCAAAAUGAAUCUGGAGUUGCUGUCCAUAAUGAGAGAAUAUAUUUAGUUGGGGAACAUGCAGUUUGGACAAAUGAGCCUCCAGCUUGUGUCCAGUCAGCUUCAUCAUCUUAGCGGAGAGGAAGACUGAAACUUAUAAUAAAGACAAUGUCCACUACUUCAAAUGAGUGGAAACUUUUAUGAAAACCAAAAGAAGGAAUUGGAUGAUUUCAACCAGAAGAACAGUAAUGUAAAAGUUAUGAUUGCCUCAUCUGGAUCUCAAAUGUGGUAGCUAUCUCCUUCUUAGAAAAGGAGAUAGAGACAAGAAGUUAUAGGCGCAGUGUAACUGAAAUAUUUGGAGACGCUUUUAUUACUUGGUAUUGUUAGUGAAAGGUUUUACUAUUCUGAUGAAACUUUAGCUGAUUAGUCUUCCUGCCUUUCUGACAACAUAACUUAUUGUACUUGGGAAAUUGUGGUGCCACAUUCGGCCAACACUUCUUCACUCACUCCCACCCCCGCUGUUCUCACGUCCGAGAUUCUAGAGUUGCUCCCAUACAAACAAAUCAUGCAGAAGAAAACAACUGCUCUCUCUCUUGUACCAGAAGAAAAGGAUUAAUUCCACCUAUUUUGAAAUUGGAAAUUAGUCUCAUCAGAUGUAGCCUUGGACACCAACCUAAAGUAAUUUUAUUUCAACAAAAUCAAACAUGUAAGAUAUGCUAUGAUCAAUACUUUCUUUCUGGACAGAGAGAACUUCAAGUGAUAAUACUGUAGUAUCUUAAUGGGGCUUGCAUCAUUUGGGGGAACAUUAUCUUAUAAGAGUUUUAAUUUAAUUGUGCACAGGAUACCUUUUCAAGUACAUUUUCAGUUUUCAAAACCAUGUGUUAUUUACAGGAAAUAGAAUUCAUGUGUUUUUGAUUCAUUUACACUUAACUCAUUAAAAAAUUCCUGUUAAAUCACUUGGUAUUGAAGGACUUUUCAGCUUUCUAAAUAAGUUUCCAAAAGCCUUCUUAAAGAUAUGAAAUGGCAUUAAAUAAAUAUGUACAUGAAUUUCCAAACCAUGUUCAUAAUUUUUCUUUAGAACUUUGUGCCUUUAAUUAGUAAAAUGUGCUUUUCUACUAUUUGGAAAGAGAUUAAUGUAUGAAAAUAUACCAUGUUUCAAUGUGAGAAAACCUAAAUUUACAAA